GACGAACGCUGGCGGCGUGCUUAACACAUGCAAGUCGAACGGAAAGGCCCUGCUUUUGUGGGGUGCUCGAGUGGCGAACGGGUGAGUAACACGUGAGUAACCUUCCCUUGACUUUGGGAUAACUUCAGGAAACUGGGGCUAAUACCUGAUAGGAGCUCCUGCUGCAUGGUGGGGGUUGGACAGUUUCGGCGGUUGGGGAUGGACUCGCGGCUUAUCAGCUUGUUGGUUGGGUAGUGGCUUACCAAGGCUUUGGCGGGUAGGCUGCCUGAGAGGGUGAACGGCGACCUUGGGACUAAGAGACGGAGCAGUCGGCAACAGGGGGCAGUGGUGGGGAAUCUUGACCAAUGGGGGGAAGCGUGAGGAAGAAGUGCCGCGUGUGGGAAGAAGGCCAUGGGGGUGUAAACGGCUUUAGCCUGUGACGAAGCGUGAGUGACGUUAAUGGGUAAAGAAGCACCGGCUAACUACGUG
rnacentral:rRNA from 1 species